ACAUCUCAAUAUGCAUCCCUAUAUAUCUCAACAUGCAUCCCUAUACAUCUCAACAUGUACUCCUAUACAUCUCAACAUGCACCCCCUAUACAUCUCAACAUGCACCCCCUAUACAUCUCAACAUGCAUCUCCUAUACAUCUCAACAUGCACCCCUAUACAUCUCAACAUGUACCCCCAUACAUCUCAACAUGCAUCCCCUAUACAUCUCAACAUGCAUCCCUAUACAUCUCAACAUGCAUCCCCUAUACAUCUCAACAUGC
rnacentral:lncRNA from 1 species